AACCUGCGGAGGGAUCAUUACACAAUAAAAUAUGAAGGCUGUACGCGGCUGUGCUCUCGGGCCAGUUUUGCGGAGGCUGAAUUAUUUAUUACCCUUGUCUUUUGCGCACUUGUUGUUUCCUGGGCGGGUUCGCCCGCCACCAGGACCACAUCAUAAACCUUUUUUAUGCAGUUGCAAUCAGCGUCAGUAUAACAAAUGUAAAUCAUUUACAACUUUCAACAACGGAUCUCUUGGUUCUGGCAUCGAUGAAGAACGCAGCGAAAUGCGAUACGUAGUGUGAAUUGCAGAAUUCAGUGAAUCAUCGAAUCUUUGAACGCACAUUGCGCCCUUUGGUAUUCCAAAGGGCAUGCCUGUUCGAGCGUCAUUUGUACCCUCAAGCUUUGCUUGGUGUUGGGCGUUUUUUGUCUUUGGUUGCCAAAGACUCGCCUUAAAAGGAUUGGCAGCCGGCCUACUGGUUUCGCAGCGCAGCACAUUUUUGCGCUUGCAAUCAGCAAAAGAGGACGGCAAUCCAUCAAGACUCCUUCUCACGUUNGACCUCGNAUCAGGUAGGGAUACCCGCUGAACUUAAGCAUAUCAAU
rnacentral:rRNA from 1 species